GCCAAUAAGAAGAUCAGGGAGUUAUAGCGCCGCUAAGUUAUCUAGAUUAGAUCUUGAGGCAAUGCAUCUUAGUUAUUUAUCUUUAAAUUCGAUUUAGAUCUAUUUAGCUUCAGUUCAUUACUAGUCAUUUGUAAUAAAUGCCUCAAGAUUAAUAAAGUGUAUUAUUGUUAUUAUUAUUAUGUCUUGUGUGUCUCUACUUUAUUUUUAUGCAAGAAAGCAGAAAACAAGUAUGGGGGAGAUCCCUCGACAUGCCAAACGUACUUCGACUACACCACUCCACGAUUUUGGUACAUACUCUGCACACUUUACUUUACACAUACACAUAUAUCUUGGAUUAUGCAGAAUACUGUCUCUGACAUGAUAAAUUAAAAAGAUUAAAAUGUUUCUAAUCAUGAUUAAUCUCACUCUGUGAUAUUUCCUGAAAACCUGCAAUUAUUGAAAAAUCAUUUUAAAACCCUGUGUUACUUAAGUCAUUAUGGAAUAUGAGAUGGUAGAGUAUGAGUAUCUUAUUCUUGAUAUCAUUGCUGCUUGGAGAAUUUAUUUCAAAAUCUUCAAAAAAAAAUUCUAGCUACCAUCCUCAAUGUUUUAUAUGCCCGAUAAACCUAAAAAAAUAAUAAAAGCUAUCUACUCUGUAUUGAGUUUGUCAAAAUGAGUUAGACCCUUGUUGAGAGAUUUAUCAUGCUCCUAAGAUCAAGACAUUUAUUCAGAAAGAUUCACUCUUCCGAAGUAUUAUUGCAUUAGAGGCAUGGGCUAUGCAAAAAUAAGGAUAUUUCGAGGAAAUAAAAAGGAGCAAGUGCUCAAUAACCUCGCAGAAAAAAUGGACAAGUGUCCGGUAGUAGAAUUAGGGGUACCUCGGUAUCCACUUAAAAAAAGAGAGAAAAAAAGAAAGGAAAUGAUAGCCCAUGGUCCCUCUAAUAGGCAAUAUGCCAGCAAGAGUUGACAAGUUUUUAAUUUCCAAAGUCUUUGAUCUAAGAGUAUGGCAUUCCCCUCCUCGGAUCCCGUUUUGAUCAGGCAGUAAAUGCAAGGUAAGUAUGCUUAAGAAUUUUUACAAAUUAAAACAGCCUCAGUGAGAUAUACAAAAGAUAAUGAGUGACCUGAGAACCUAUGAGGAUAAAGGUAUGCUAAAUUUCUUUUCAAAAAUAUACAAAAACUCCAAGUGACAGGAUUAAGAAGAAAGGAUCUCUACUCUUGUUGACACCGUUUUUGGGCACGUGUCCAGGAUGGCAGGAUAAGAUGACAGUAUGUGGUUUACAGGGUGAGCUGCC
rnacentral:lncRNA from 1 species